ACACCUGUGGUGAAGUGGUUAUCAUGCUUGCCUUCCAUCCAAUCUUAGCAUGCGAUUCACAGCAAGCGGCACGGGUUCGAUUCCCGUCGGGUGUA
rnacentral:tRNA from 1 species